rnacentral:lncRNA from 1 species
AAGCAGGCCUGGAAGAAAAUUUGGAAUGAUAAUUUAGGAAUGAUUUUUUCUUUUUUUUUUUUUUGUGUUUUCUUUGGUUUUACCCUGGGUGACUUGCCUCCUUAAAUAACUGAGGGCCAGCAUAAGUCUGUUCAACUUUAUAUUGAGUUUGUAGAUGGUUUGGGGUAUCAUUUAACCUUCUACAAUAUAUACUCCAUAUAAAAUAAGUAUUUAUAUGUUAGGUUUCAUAUUGGUACAGAGGCAGUAAUCUUAACAAAUCACUUUUCUUUCAGAUAAUAAGCAAAAUACGGACUAAAAUCCUCACUGAUUUCUGGGAAAAAAAAAACCCUGCAGAUAUUUCUUGACCCUGCUUUAUGUCCUGGUGUUUGUUACCAGUCAUUGGCACAAUCAAAGAGCUUCAUUACAACAGCUGAAACCAGAGUCCCUAAAAUGUGGAGUGGUAUGUUUGACCUGGUGUUAAUUGUACUUGUCAGUGGUCUUUAACUGGCAGAGUGAGGGCAGAUGUGUUAUAGAUAGCUCUCCUGAGCCAAGAUUCAGCAGCAGAACAGGAUGUGGCUUUCACAAAGGGAGUCCCUGUAUCUGGCAACAUCUGCUUCAGAUCCUGGAAGCCAGCACCCACCAAAAUGGACAAUACUGGGGUUUGCUUGGGUGCUGGCAGGCAGCAGCAGAUCAGGUAGGAUGUCUUCUGCUGGGAAUGGGGUCAGCUGCUUCACAAUCUCUUGACCUGCUCUCUCUGGCAUGUGAUUGUGUCCUGGAAAUGAGCAGCUUAAACAGUAAGGAUGUUUCUGAUCUUUUUCCUGAAAUGUAAGAAAAUUCUGCUGUAACAAAGGAAAAUAAGGUUUCUAUGAGCAAUAAAUACAAUGUCAUCAUGGUUGCA